rnacentral:rRNA from 1 species
ACCCGCUGAACUUAAGCAAUAAGCGGAGGAAAAGAAACCAACAGGGAUUGCCCUAGUAACGGCGAGUGAAGCGGCAAGAGCUCAAAUUUGAAAUCUGGCCCCCUUGGGGGUCCGAGUUGUAAUUUGCAGAGGGUGCUUUGGCGUUGGCUGUGGUCUAAGUUCCUUAGAACAGGACGUCGCAGAGGGUGAGAAUCCCGUAUGUGGCCGCCAGCCUCCGCCGUGUAAAGCCCCUUCGACGAGUCGAGUUGUUUGGGAAUGCAGCUCUAAAUGGGAGGUAAAUUUCUUCUAAAGCUAAAUACUGGCCAGAGACCGAUAGCGCACAAGUAGAGUGAUCGAAAGAUGAAAAGCACUUUGGAAAGAGAGUCAAAAAGCACGUGAAAUUGUUGAAAGGGAAGCGCUUGCAGCCAGACUUGCCUGUAGUUGCUCAUCCGGGCUCUUGCCCGGUGCACUCUUCUGCGGGCAGGCCAGCAUCAGUCCGGGCGGUUGGAUAAAUGCCUGCUAAAUGUACCUCUCCUCGGGGAGGACUUAUAGGGCAGGCGGCAUACAACCAGCCUGGACUGAGGUCCGCGCAUCUGCUAGGAUGCUGGCGUAAUGGCUGU